rnacentral:rRNA from 1 species
AACUAGGAUUAGAUACCCUAUUAUAUUUAAAUACCUUAGGUAGUAUUAGUUUUUCAAAGAAACCUAUGCAGUUUGGCGGCAUUUAAUCACUUUAGAGGAACCUGUCUUUUAAUCGAUACCCCACGUUAUUUCUCUCUUUUAUUAACAUUUUAUAUACCUCCAUCUUAAGGAUUAAUAUUUACAUUUUCCCCAAAAUAGAAUUCUAAUAAGUUAGGUAAAGGUGUAGACUAUAUAAAAGAUGAGAUGGGUUACUAUAAAUCUUAUUUAAGGAUUCUUAAAUUAAAAUUUUGAUGAAAAAGGAUUUAUUAGUAAUAAAAGAAUACUAAUCUUCCAUGAAACUGAUAAACAAUGUGCACACAUCGCCCGUCGCU